rnacentral:rRNA from 1 species
UGGACGUUACUCGCAGAAUAAGCACCGGCUAACUCUGUGCCAGCAGCCGCGGUAAUACAGAGGGUGCAAGCGUUAAUCGGAUUUACUGGGCGUAAAGCGCGCGUAGGUGGCCAAUUAAGUCAAAUGUGAAAUCCCCGAGCUGUAACUUGGGAAUUGCAUUCGAUACUGGUAUGGCUAGAGUAUGGGAGAGGAUGGUAGAAUUCCAGGUGUAGCGGUGAAAUGCGUAGAGAUCUGGAGGAAUACCGAUGGCGAAGGCAGCCAUCUGGCCUAAUACUGACACUGAGGUGCGAAAGCAUGGGGAGCAAACAGGAUUAGAUACCCUGGUAGUCCAUGCCGUAAACGAUGUCUACUAGCCGUUGGGGCCUUUGAGGCUUNAGUGGCGCAGCUAACGCGAUAAGUAGACCGCCUGGGGAGUACGGUCGCAAGACUANAACUCAAAUGAAUUGACGGGGGCCCGCACAAGCGGUGGAGCAUGUGGUCUANUUCGAUGCACCGCGANGANCCUUACCUGGUCUNGACAUAGUA